AUUGGACGCUGGCGGCAGGCCUAACACAUGCAAGUCGAGCGAAUGAAGAGAGCUUGCUCUCUGAUUUAGCGGCGGACGGGUGAGUAAUGCCUAGGAAUCUGCCUGGUAGUGGGGGAUAACGUCCGGAAACGGGCGCUAAUACCGCAUACGUCCUACGGGAGAAAGCAGGGGACCUUCGGGCCUUGCGCUAUCAGAUGAGCCUAGGUCGGAUUAGCUAGUUGGUGAGGUAAUGGCUGACCAAGGCGACGAUCCGUAACUGGUCUGAGAGGAUGAUCAGUCACACUGGAACUGAGACACGGUCCAGACUCCUACGGGAGGCAGCAGUGGGGAAUAUUGGACAAUGGGCGAAAGCCUGAUCCAGCCAUGCCGCGUGGGUGAAGAAGGUCUUCGGAUUGUAAAGCACUUUAAGUUGGGAGGAAGGGCAGUAAGUUAAUACCUUGCUGUUUUGACGGUACCGACAGAAUAAGCACCGGCUAACUUCGUGCCAGCCGCCGCAGUAACAC
rnacentral:rRNA from 1 species